rnacentral:rRNA from 1 species
UGGGGAAUUUUGGACAAUGGGCGAAAGCCUGAUCCAGCAAUGCCGCGUGUGUGAAGAAGGCCUUCGGGUUGUAAAGCACUUUUGUCCGGAAAGAAAUCCUUGGCUCUAAUACAGUCGGGGGAUGACGGUACCGGAAGAAUAAGCACCGGCUAACUACGUGCCAGCAGCCGCGGUAAUACGUAGGGUGCAAGCGUUAAUCGGAAUUACUGGGCGUAAAGCGUGCGCAGGCGGUUUGCUAAGACCGAUGUGAAAUCCCCGGGCUCAACCUGGGAACUGCAUUGGUGACUGGCAGGCUAGAGUAUGGCAGAGGGGGGUUAGAAUUCCACGUGUAGCAGUGAAAUGCGUAGAGAUGUGGAGGAAUACCGAUGGCGAAGGCAGCCCCCUGGGCCAAAUACUGACGCUCAUGCACGAAAGCGUGGGGGAGCAAAACAGGAUUCAGAUACCCUGGUAGUCCACGCCCUAAACGAUGUCAACUAGUUGUUGGGGAUUCAUUUCCUUAGUAACGUAGCUAACGCGUGAAGUUGACCGCCNGGGGAGUACGGUCGCAAGAUUAAAACUCAAUGAAUUG